AAGUCGUAACAAGGUUUCCGUAGGUGAACCUGCGGAAGGAUCAUUAAUGCUUUUUUCUUUUUUCUUUUUUUGUUUCUCAAAAACGAGAUGUCCAGUGAACCCACUUACAAACAAACCAAAAAGAAAACAAAAAACCAAGAAGAGGAGAGAAACAAGAGCAACAACAUCACAUUGUUCUCUUUGUUUUCUUUUCUUUUCUUUUCUUUUUUUGUUUUCUUUUUUUCUUUCUUUUUUUUUCAUACCCCAACAACCAACAACAAACCCAAUGGACAAUCAAAUCAACAAACCAAAUCAAACAAAGAAAAACAACUCUUAACAAUGGAUAUCUAGGCUCUC
rnacentral:misc_RNA from 1 species